GUUAUAAUUCUAGCCACCUAACAUACCC
rnacentral:rRNA from 1 species